GGGAGCAGCUUGAGUCUUGCCUUAGCGUCGUGGCGUUAGCAGGACUGGUUUACAUUGCGGGGGGGGAGUUGUGUUAAUAGGGGCUGAGAGGUGCGGCGCGUCCCGGCUUAGCGUGAUGCGUGGCAGGAUGUCGUGGAUGCGUGGCGGCUUACCAAAGAUUGGGAGGCCCUGCAUUGCUUGGCGGGGGUUGGGGGGAUCUGCUUGUCGCGCUAAACAACCCAUUAAGGCGCCGCCGCGAUGCAUCACCUGCCGCAUCCGGUCCAGGGAGCCCACCGCCCCCACUAUCCCCCCAGCAGCGUCCAGGCGAACAAAGGAGCAUGAAUGUUUCAAAGCAGUACUAAUAGUAGUAACAGAAACAGCAACAUUAACGGUAGCAGUUGUACAUCGCUUCGCUCCUUCAACGGUGCCGCAAUUGACUGACGCCUGACCUCCGUCCUGAGCCUCCCAGCACACAACAUUCUUCAGACAAGAAAGUGACGCCGUUCAUUUUGUCCUCGACUUAACACAGCGUCCCACAGAGGCGCCCACCACCUACACCCCGACUGUGCUAAGUCCUCGACAGACGCACCACCGCUGCCUGGCUGGCUCUGGUGCACUGGACGGCUCGUGGUAUGAGGUGAAGGUUGCUCGAGUCUGACUCAUGGCGAGGCAAGAGGAAGGAACGGAACAGAGGUGUGACACUCCCCGCCAGCCACGCUCCUUACGCUCCUUCCUGAGUACAGAUGUCAUUGUUAAGUCGUAGAAGAAACUGAUCCUUGGCUUCGAAAAAUUAAAAACAGCACUUGUACCUUCCUAUAACAUUGCAGUACAACACUUAAACCAGCAAGACUGUAAGAGUGUGACGACUUUCUGAGUGAGGAUCAUCCUUCCUGAUGCCUCGUAGUGCUCCAUCGCGGCCCUCAACCUCCCUCCAGCUCUCAUAGCCCCGGAAUCCCGAACGAUCCCUUAAGUCUUAGGUCCAUAUUCUGAAACACUUCUGCCUGCACGUCGACUACUUUCAGAAGGCUUUAGUUGAAGUGAAGCGUGUCUCUAAGGGUAUCUUUAUGGUUCUAGUGACAGAUUAACAAGAAUUUUGGAUUAUUGAAUGGAGAAACACACUUGAGAACCCGACAAAUUGUUUUCAAAAGGGUGUAGUUAAAGUGACGCGGGUUUUUAAAAGAUGUUUUUUAAAGGUUUUGCUGAUAGGUGAACAAAAUAUUCAUGUUAUUAACUCGGGAAACACACUUGAAAACCCGGUUAUUAUUUUCAAAAGUUAGUAAUUGAAGUGACGCGGAUAUUUGAAGAUGUUUUUUCAAGGUUUUAGUGAUAGAUGAACAAGAUUUUUACAUUAUUGACAUCGGAAACACUUUUGAGAACCCUGCUAAUUACCUCUCUUACCUUUGAAAACAGUCACGUUGAGAGAGCAGUAUUUCUGAACACGGGUGAUGGCCCUGGUAGGUACAUCGCGUCUCUUUCUCCCUCCAGCCGUGAAAGCCUUGGGAGUUUGAACGAUCCUCUAAUCGCCUCCUACGGUGAGAUUUAAUCCGGGAGUU